GGACUACAAGGGUAUCUAAUCCCGUUUGCUCCCCUGGCUUUCGUGCCUCAGCGUCAGUUGAGACCCAGUGUGUCGCUUUCGCCACCGGCGUUCCUUCCGAUAUCAACACAUUUCACCGCUCCACCGGAAGUUCCACACACCCCUAUCUCACUCCAGCCAUCCAGUUUAGGGCGCAAUUCCUCGGUUGAGCCGAGGGCUUUCACACCCUACUUAAACGACCGCCUACGCACCCUUUAAGCCCAGUGAUUCCGAAUAACGUUUGCACAGUUCGUAUUACCGCGGCUGCUGGCAC
rnacentral:rRNA from 1 species